rnacentral:lncRNA from 1 species
CAGAGUGGGCACAGGCUCCCUCACUGGGUGAAGGAGGCGCAAAGAACGGGAAGAGCCAUCCCGGGAGCCCACCGGCCUUUCAGUUUCCCUUGGGCCCCCAGGCGGUUCAGCAUAUAAACUGUUAACAUGAGGUAAGCGCCAAGGUCUAGAGAAGGCAGUGGAAGAGAUGGCAAACUCCGGCACCAUGUCUGCGUGUCCAGUGUGCUCUGCUGGAGCAGCACAUUUUUGUACAUUGCUGUAUUUGAAAAAACCCUGCAAGAAUCAUGAAACUGGACGACCAUCUUUAUAACACUCCCAGUGAUAAAACAAGUAAGAAUGGCUGGUUUGUAGUCAUCUGAGCAGCCUCUCUAGUUUCGUAGAUAUGGUUUCUCUCUGAUAUCGAACGACUUCCAAUGUCAAGCGGAAUGCUACAUCACAAGGAUAACCGUAUGUGAAAAGAACCAGUUUUCUUUGUAAUCCUGAACUUUCUAGUUUGCGCAUUAAAAGACAUUAUUUGAAGAAGA